GAUGAAGAACGUAGUGAAAUGCGAUAAGUAGUGUGAAUUGCAGAAUUCAGUGAAUCAUCGAAUCUUUGAACGCACAUUGCGCCUCCUGGCAUUCCAGGGGGCAUGCCUGUUCGAGCGUCAUUUAAACCUUCAAGCUAAGCUUGGUGUUGGGUGACUGUCCGCUUCACGGCGGACUCGCCUCAAAAUUAUUGGCGGCCGGUACAUUGGCUUCGAGCGCAGCAGAAACGCGAACUCGGGCCCAUCGUAUUGGCUCCCAGAAGCUAUCUUCACAAUUUUGACCUCGGAUCAGGUAGGGAUACCCGCUGAACUUAAGCAUAUCAAUAAGCGGAGGA
rnacentral:misc_RNA from 1 species